GACGAACGCUGGCGGCGUGCUUAACACAUGCAAGUCGAACGAAGAGCGAUGGAAGCUUGCUUCUAUCAAUCUUAGUGGCGAACGGGUGAGUAACGCGUAAUCAACCCGCCCUUCAGAGGGGGACAACAGUUGGAAACGACUGCUAAUACCGCAUACGAUCUAAUCUCGGCAUCGAGGAUAGAUGAAAGGUGGCCUCUACAUGUAAGCUAUCACUGAAGGAGGGGAUUGCGUCUGAUUAGCUAGUUGGAGGGGUAACGGCCCACCAAGGCGAUGAUCAGUAGCCGGUCUGAGAGGAUGAACGGCCACAUUGGGACUGAGACACGGCCCAGACUCCUACGGGAGGCAGCAGUGGGGAAUCUUCCGCAAUGGACGAAAGUCUGACGGAGCAACGCCGCGUGAGUGAUGACGGCCGUCGGGUUGUAAAGCUCUGUUAAUCGGGACGAAAGGCCUUCUUGCGAAUAGUGAGAAGGAUUGACGGUACCGGAAUAGAAAGCCACGGCUAACUACGUG
rnacentral:rRNA from 1 species